GAAACCUUGGUGUAGUGGUUAAAAAUUUGGCUGCUAACCAAAAGGUUGGCAGUUGGAAUCCGCCAGGCAUUC
rnacentral:tRNA from 1 species